AUGUUUGAUUCUCUCCUUUGCCCAGCCCUCAGUGUUCUGUGAAUGUUGUCAAUUUUAUCUCUACUCUUUCCCUUCCUCUCCUCCAGUGGCUUGCUUGUAAAAUCGUCUGACUUGAGAAAUUAAUUUGGUGGUGACUAGGUCAGAUUUUUAGGAGAAAGAGGAGAGGGUCGGAUCUGAAGAUUGUGAAAUUCUUUUCUCCUGUGUCAUCGAACGCCUCUUCCUCCAUGACCUUCGACACUGAUAAAGUAGAAGAAACUGAGGCACGGGGAGAGGAAAGCAACUGAGAAGAGAGGAACGAGGGAAACAAAGUCUAGCCGCGUAGCCCGGGUUCCUCGGCUUCCCCAGUGCAUACCAUGCCUAGGUCUUCAGGGUGAGUGACUCUAGAUCCUUUUGGGGUGUUAAGUCUGUCCAAGAAGUUUGCCUUCUUCCUUAUCCAAAAAUUUUGCCCCCCUCCUCAACCCUUGUUCUAUCUCUUCUCUGUGCAUUUUAGAGACAGACUCGGACUGUACACAGACCGUUUUUUGAGAAAAAUGAUCAAACAUCUCCAUAUCAUGUACACUGUCCUUUAUUUUUGCUUCGUAAAUGGCCCGUGUUCGAGAACCUCCUCACUUGUUGGUUCUGUCUUUCCUCUUAGAUGUCUGUCUUCCUCUCUGUUCCCACCUCUGCUUUGGAUUGGCUGACUUUCUGUCUGUCUGACCCGUAUCCCUCCAUCAUCUCGUCUGCCUGCAGAACUGACUGUUGAUAAAUUGUGUGGCACCGUGUCUGUGUCGAACAUUACUUUGUCUUCUGUCUUACCCAGUCCUUCCAUCACUGUCUGCUUCCUCUCCCUGUGUGUUGGUCUUGGGAAUGCCACCUGCUUCUCGUGGCUGUUUCUCUUUUUUCUUGAUAGCCCGUCGUUCCGCGUUUCUCUGUCUGCUCCAUUCUUGUCUCUUUCCUUCUGUGUUCACAGGUUCCUCUGUAUUUCUUUUGUCCAUUUGUUCUCUGUCCUUGGGCCUUUUGUCUGUGAUUGUUUCACUGACUCUGAUGCCUGUCCCCUGCUAACAG
rnacentral:lncRNA from 1 species